AAGUCAAUAACUUAACGGUAAAGUAUUGAUUUCCAAAAUCAAUAAUAGAGGUUCAAUUCCUCUUUGGCUUG
rnacentral:tRNA from 1 species